rnacentral:sRNA from 1 species
GCCAGGCGUAAUGGCUCAUGCCUGUAAUCCCAGCUACUUGGGAGGCUGAGGCAGGAGAAUCACUUGAACCUGGGAGGUGGAGGUUGCAGUUAGCCAAGAUCGCGCCACUGCAAUCCUGCCCGGGCAAUAAGGUGAGACUCUGUCUCUA